AAGUGCUCACAGCACAGCCCUCAGCAUGGACUGGAGCUGGAGAACCCUCCUCCUUGUGGCCAUGGCGACAGGUGUCCACUCCCAGGUGCAGCUGGUGCAGUCUGGGGCUGAAGUGAGGAAGCCUGGGGCCUCCGUGAAGGUCUCCUGCAAGGCUUCUGGAUACACUUUCACCAGCUAUGCUGUUCACUGGGUGCGACAGGCCCCAGGACAGGGGCUUGAGUGGAUGGGGUGGGUUAACCCUUACAAUGGAAACACAAAGUACGCACAGAAGUUCCAAGGCAGAGUCUCCAUGACCAGUGACACGUCCAUGAGCACAGCCUACAUGGACCUGAGCAGCCUGAGUGCCGAGGACACGGCCCUGUAUUACUAUGCGAGAGACACAGUGAGGGGAACCCAGCAGGCGUGA